AACGAACGCUGGCGGCGUGCUUAACACAUGCAAGUCGAACGGGAGUAUUGAAGAAGCUUGCUUUAGAGAUACUUUAGUGGCGGACGGGUGAGUAACGCGUGAGGAGCUGUCCUAUGCAGGGGGACAACAGCUGGAAACGGCUGCUAAUACCCCAUAAGCCGAGAGGUAAAAGGAUCAAUCCGGCAGAGGAGGUACUCGCGUCCUAUCAGCUAGUAGGUGAGGUAACGGCUCACCUAGGCGAAGACGGGUAGCCGGCCUGAGAGGGCGAACGGCCACACUGGAACUGAGAUACGGUCCAGACUCCUACGGGAGGCAGCAGUGGGGAAUAUUGGGCAAUGGGGGAAACCCUGACCCAGCGACGCCGCGUGGGUGAAGAAAUCCUUCGGGAUGUAAAGCCCUGUUGUAUGGGAAGAGCGGAAGACGGUACCAUACGAGGAAGCCCCGGCAAACUACGUG
rnacentral:rRNA from 1 species